CAGCCUCUGCCGUGCUCGACAGCGGGCCUAUUUGAAAAGAACCGAAAUCCCAUUGUUGGGAAGCGAACUCCAGCGGCGCCAUUGGCGCCCGGUCAGCUGCCCACUUGAACUAAUGGGUUCUUCUUCUUAGCCCACAUCGGCACAACGGUGGAGGCUCC
rnacentral:other from 1 species